GGUACAACAACACCAGUAAGCUUGAUUGCCACACCAGAUCCUUCCAAACCAUGUGACCCUUUCCAGCCUUUUGGAGCUGAUGUCAUAGACCAUUUCCAGGCUAAAAAAGGUCUAGGUGACCCAUUCAGUGGAAAAGAUCCCUUCAUCCCAUCAUCAGCAUCAAGUAAUGCUCCUAAAGAAUCUACCUCCAGUUUUACAGAUGUCAGUUCCGACCUGAUAAAGUCAAGGUAAGCAAUUGAGCACACAGAGGGAUUCACAUGAAACUAGGUUUUAAUUAGAAUUGCUUUUUUAAUAUUUAAUUAUAUGUUAGAUGCAUGAUAAACAAAUAGCAGAAAGAAAAAUAAGCAAAAAAUGUAGCAUUGAGGAUAUUUAGACAAAAAUAUCAAUCAGAUAACUUUUACAAAAUGAACGAAGAGUAUCCCAUUUUAACAUGGAACCGGCUGCAGUUAGCAGUUGUUUUUCAUUGGUUAGUUUUGUAUAACCUUUAUAAGGUUUGGUGAAACCUUCAAAAAACUAUAUAGCACUGUUCUUACAGUUCAGCUGCUCUAAUUUAUGGAAGUUAGGAAAUGUGGAAUUUAAAGCUGUUUCUUCGUUGGAAUAAAAUGUAUAGUCACUUACAUCCUGGUCUUCUGAUCUAGUAUUUGGUGUCAACCAUUUCUUGUUCACAGAAAAAUAAUUUUAAUUCAUUUCAAUUUAUUUACAUAGUGUCAAUUUCCAACACUGAUCAUACCUCUAACCUGUACCUAUUCCUUUAUUGAGCUAAUUUUCAUAAGCAUAUCGUCUGUGAACUUUUAAUAUAUUGACAAUUUGUACAAUUCUGAUAAUAUAUUGGCAUUGUUCUCUUCAAAAAUGUGAAUUGUAAUUUUUUUCAAUCAGAAACUGUUGUAAUUGAUCCUUCUGAGUUCUGUUAGCCUGAUGUCUUUGCAGUACUGUAGUGUGUAUGAAGCAUGUAAUGUACAAAGUGACAAAGCAGAAUAAUAAAGAAUAAUAAAGUAGUCAAAAUGUGUACAUCAUUAGCAAUAAUAGUAAACCAGAUGUUUACCUGGAGCAUACUGUGAUCGCACUACUAAUAUUUAAAAUAUAUAAAGUUCAUAUAUUUAAAAGACAUUCUAAAUAUAUUUUAAAUGUAAUUUGUUCACAAAAAUGGUACACUUAAUAUAUACACUAAUCAAGGACGUUUAUGUUACAUAAAAUCAGGGGGCACUAUGAC